rnacentral:lncRNA from 1 species
UUUAGGCUUUCUGAGGCUUAUAAAACAUCACAGACAUGAGUACAUGUAAGUUUAAUUAACAUGUUUAACCCCGCCGCAACCUCUGGCCUUUGUUAGUCUUGUAUGAUUUUUAAUUUUAGUUUCUUGUGUAUAAUUCGGAGUUUAGUAUGACGUCCAGUAUCACUGUACUAGUAUACAUAUUUUUUAAGGGGCCAGCUGAAGGACGCCUACGGGUGCGAGAGUUUUUCGCUACAUUGAAGACCCAUUGGUGGCCUUCGGCUGUGGUCUGCUCUAUGGUCGUGUUGUUGUCGCUUUGACACAUUCCCCAUUUCCUUUCUCAAUUUUACUAAAUAUACAAUGGAUUAACAUCAAUCCAUCCAAUUGUCAAAAGGAUGAAACAUAAAAAAGAAAAAUAGAUAAGAGGAAUUAUCUGUACAAGUUCGACAUAUAACAUUACACCACAUCAAUCUCUUUCGAGAAAAUAUACGUACACAUAAAAACUUACAACAACGAAGAUGGUCCGAAUAGUCUGACUUUGUACAGGCCUGACAUUUUGUCGGGUAAAACCAGUUGUAAAUACGCAAAAUGUGGCUUAGUCUAUCCAAACCAUGUGUCAUCGUAAAACACACAAUAAAAAACCUGUGCAGAGAAGCUAGCAAGGGGGUGAAUAAUAGAUUUAACAAGGGAAAUAAAAGAAGAUACAUAAUAUGUAACUAUGACAAUUUCUAGGGCAGGAUCAAAACGUGAUAGAUACUGCCGGUUUAUAUUGAAGCUCCAAAAAAAACGAAAAAAAUUCUGAAACAACACCCCUAACAGGUUUUAAUGAUUUCCUCAUUAAAUUUAUAGAGGUUGACAGUAUUUGUUAGAGGUCAGUUAAUAUUUAACAAAUAAAAUCAAGACAAAAAUUGUUUUUGAAAUGUUUUUUUUUUUUUUUUUGAUUAUAGAAGUGUGCAGUUAGUAACUAUCAGGAUUUCAAAGAGUUUUACGGUGUAUAAUCUUGCCAUAACAAAAAUGUAUAGCCUUUAUCACGACUUUACGUGCCAGAGAUACUGUAGCAGGGAGUUAUCGACAGAGUUAAACGCGUGAUCAAAGGAGUUGAGGUUUCUAAGAGUCAACUGAGUUUAAUAAUGCUCCAAAACAACCCUGUUUUUUUCUGUAUAGAGCCUGCUGUAAAUGAAAUCCGUAUAAUGUGCACAUACAUGCCAAUAUCACGUCAAUUAAGAUAUGUAAAUCCCAUAGGACUGGGCGCAGAGUAUGCUAAUGCUUUGAAAUGAGAAAUUGACAAUGGAAAAGUUGAAAUCUUCCCGUUUGAUAUAGAUUAUAGUUUCGAGUCGUCCAUCAGUAUCACUGAGAUUUGAUUGGUACAUUUUUUAUCAAUGAAAACAUUACUUUCAUAAUCAAUGCAUUCUAAGUGCUUUUCUGGAUUCAUAAAUGAUCAAUUUAAAAAAUGAUUUGCUAUAAAUCCUGUCGUCACCGAGGUACGGACUACUGAGAGUUAGGAAUCAAAAAUUUCUUUAUUAAAAUAAGUUAUUAGAGGUGUCUCUCCUUAUAUUGCAAAGAUCAUAAAAAUUUGAUCAUACGAACGAAUGUUCUGUAUUUUUUUUUAAACAGUUGUAAAAUAUGUUUUACCACAUUAUUUUCUUUAUCGAAAUGAAUAGUCUAAGAUCUAAAUGGAUUUGUUCUGCUAUUUUACAAUCCAAGAUAACGAAGCCAUCCGAUCUACCUU